rnacentral:lncRNA from 1 species
AAAAAAAAAAAAAAAAGAGAAAAGAAAAUAAGUUUUGUGAAGAAGUGUCAGAACAAAAGAAUCACCACAAAAGAAAAAGGGGAAAGUAAAAGGGAGUGAAUGAAUCAUGAGAUGAAAUUAUGCUGGUUUUGUGCUCUCUUAUCUUUGAGGCUUUUUGAAUCCAUAGAAAAACAAUGAAUUUUUGUAGCCCAGCCCCGUUACAAGCUUUAUGAAGUCCUUAGUGAUCCACGAUUGAUAACAUGUUUUGUGAUAUUGCUUAGAUGACUGUUUGAAUUAAAUUGUUGCAUGCACAUUGCUUGGAUUGAGUGAAACACUUGCCCUUGAGUGAUAUAUUUGUGAGAAAUUUGUGAUAACACUUGAAUCUUAAUUGUUUGAUAAGAAUGUUGAGAAUUUUGCUUAGGCAUAGCAAUCACUUCAUGAUCAUGCUUUGUUGCUUUGAAUAUUUUGAGGAUUAGUCUUUAGUUGACAUUGCUUUACUCAUGCUAGAAAGAAGAUUUUCAAACUUUGAUUGAUUACAAACCCA